rnacentral:tRNA from 1 species
GUUUUUUUAAUAGUUUAAGUAAAAAAAUUUAGAUCUUGUAAAUCUAAGAUAACAUAAGUUUUAAAAAU